rnacentral:rRNA from 1 species
AACGAACGCUGGCGGCAUGCCUAACACAUGCAAGUCGAACGAGACCUUCGGGUCUAGUGGCGCACGGGUGCGUAACGCGUGGGAACCUGCCCUUAGGUUCGGAAUAACUCCCCGAAAGGGGUGCUAAUAUCGGAUAAUUUCUUCGGACCAAAGAUUUAUCGCCUUUGGAUGGGCCCGCGUUGGAUUAGCUUGUUGGUAGGGUAAAAGCCUACCAAGGCGACGAUCCAUAGCUGGUCUGAGAGGAUGAUCAGCCACACUGGGACUGAGACACGGCCCAGACUCCUACGGGAGGCAGCAGUGGGGAAUAUUGGACAAUGGGCGAAAGCCUGAUCCAGCAAGGCCGCGUGAGUGAUGAAGGCCUUAGGGUUGUAAAGCUCUUUUACCCGGGAUGAUAAUGACAGUACCGGGAGAAUAAGCUCCGGCUAACUCCGUG